GAUGAACGCUGGCGGCGUGCCUAAUACAUGCAAGUCGAGCGAACGGACGAGAAGCUUGCUUCUCUGAUGUUAGCGGCGGACGGGUGAGUAACACGUGGAUAACCUACCUAUAAGACUGGGAUAACUUCGGGAAACCGGAGCUAAUACCGGAUGAUAUUUUGAACCGCAUGGUUCAAAAGUGAAAGACGGUCUUGCUGUCACUUAUAGAUGGAUCCGCGCUGCAUUAGCUAGUUGGUAAGGUAACGGCUUACCAAGGCAACGAUGCAUAGCCGACCUGAGAGGGUGAUCGGCCACACGAGAGCUGAGACACGGUCCAGACUACUGCGGGAGGCAGCAGUAGGGAAUCUUCCGCAAUGGGCGAGAGCCUGACGGAGCAACGCCGCGUGAGUGAUGGAGGUCUCCGGAUCGUAAAACUCUGUUAUUAGGGAAGAACAUAUGUGUAAGUAACUGUGCACAUCUUGACGGUACCUAAUCAGAAAGCCACGGCUAACUACGUG
rnacentral:rRNA from 1 species